rnacentral:tRNA from 1 species
AGGGGCAUGGUGUAAUGGUAACACAACGGUCUUCGGAACCGUUACUGGGGGUUCGAUCCCCUCUGUCCCUG